UUUUAGUCAGGACAAUUGGCGGCAACCUAUCUCCUUCGUCAGGACCCAAAAUGGUGGCGGCGUGAGUGAAAACUAAAAGCUGAAGGCAUCAGGCUGUUGACGUGUUGAUAGACAUGAGUGGGCUCCGGAGAUUCUGGAAUAACUACAAAGUGCUGCUUGUUAUGGUCCCUGGCCUCGGCUUGCUUCACUGGGGCUGGUACUCGAUCAAAUCCAACCCGCUGCUGAAGAAGGGCAGAGACGACGAAUAUAUUCCCGAACCGGGCAUCGUGUCGUACGUCGCUCAGCCUGCGCCGGCUCUGCCCCCUCUGCCCGAAAAGAAGAGCAAGAAGACCAGAGACCAGGAGUAACUGGAGCUGACUGUGUUUAUUGAGGUCUUUAAUAUCUCCUCCUUUCUGAAAACCCUUCUGGGCACCAAGGAGAGGAUGAGAAACCACAGCUGGCUCAGGAAGAACUGGUUUUGGGUUGCCGGAGGUGCAUUCGCUGGGAUUCAUUUCUGCACGUGGAUCAUGCAGAAGGCCAUGAAGACUUCAGUACAGUCUGAACGGCAGCUCAAAAUCAAGGCAGAUCCAGGAGAGUAACAGAUAUGUGUGUGUUUGAGUGAUUCAUCACAGUUCAUUCAAGUGCAUUAAAGUCCAUCAGCUGACUGAAACACACUGUUUCUGAUGCACACAGAGGAGAACUAUAAUUUUAUAAUCUCUGAAAUCAAAUCUACUAAUUAUAAAUGAUGAAGGGUUGACAAUUUUAAUGAGGGAAAAACACUUUUGUAGUGACACUUGAGUGGUUGUAAUCAUUUAUUACUGAUCAUUUGUUUUUCUGACAAGACGAGUGUGUGUAGAUCACUUUGUACAGAUGUAAACAUGUAUUUAAAAAAAAUAAAUACAAGAAAUGUA